AAGAAAGCGAAGCGGCCAAGGCUACGACCUAAGAUCGCAAUCACGAGUGUGACUUCUGCCGCAUCAGUUGUCAUGUCUCCAUGGUUGUGAACAUGCAAGAUGACAUCCUGUACUGCCUAGAGCAUGCUGUGCAUUGCCUGCAGAGGAAAAACAUGAAGUCUUGGAAGCUUCUUUACACCUAUGACAUGGAUGAGCUCAGGUCCAUACUGCGGAAGCUCGAGCAACACCUAGAGUCCCAGGAGAGUUCUCAAACGAAGGUAGACUCCGAGUCAUCUCCGCUGAAAAAGAAAAUAGCCAAGAAGAAGUGAACAUGGAAGAAAUUGUCAGUCAACACUGUGUUGUUCAUGGUGUAUAUUCUGUCUGAUGUAGGACUCUAAAAAAGAAGUGUACUAAUGCUGAAGUGUUACUAGUUAUUAUAGGGAUGGACAGUGGUUAUGCUCUGUGUUAGGAGCAAGGGCAGCACCACAAUAUUCCCUUGAGGGGGGUGGGGGUAAUUCUCCUUUUUCAUUGGUGGUGUAGCCGGGCUUUGACUCUUUUCUCUCUUGCCCCCUUUAGCUGCCCCUGAUUUACAGCUGAUUGUUGUUUGGUGUGGAAAAGUGCCCAUUUUGCUUGGCAUGUAGAGGAGUGGGUAGAGUUCACUUGCUCCUUUGUAUGCUUCACUGGUUGUCUAAGUCCUCUGCCAACUAAUCAUAGAGUGAGACCUCUCAAGUGAAACUGGGGAGUACACGUAGUACAGGACUGUGAUAUAGCUGCGUUGAUAGGUUACCUCUCAAUGUGACGUGGUAUGUUUAUGUGCAACUGUACAAGUUCUACUUUUUUUGCAUAUUUCAUGCCUCCUAAUUUUCAUGAAGUUGCAAUUUACUGCAACUGGGUCAUAGCAUCAUGUUUCAUUUACAUUUUAUUGAUUUUGUAUGUGUUUACUUACUUUGUGGCUCAGUGAAUGGGCUUUCUAAGGAAGUGUGGUUGUAACUGAGGCGUCAUAGUUUGAUUCAGCUAAUUUCGUACACGUCUUAGGUCAUGGUUACCUGGCAUGCUUCAUUUUACCACAGUAGUAAGGAAGCUACUUUGAAUUUGAUUAUAUUUUUUCUUUGAGCACAAAUAAGUGGUACAAAAAAUAUGCAUUCACAGACACAAUGCCCUCAAUUUAUGUUUUUUUUUUCCUUUUGUAACACCUAUUCGCACAACUGCCAUCAUAAUUCUAGUAGUUGCUGCCUCAGGAAAUAGUUGUCAAUUUGAAAACCUAAAUGUGGGUUAAACGUCAGCCUCUUAGCCUUCACGUGAAAAUAGCAGUGUCAGUGCUAGAAGAGAAUAUGAAUUAUAGGGGUACUGACACAAAAAUUUUGGCCUCGCGUUUUUUUGCUGCAACAUAUUGCUGGGGCCCUGUUAGUCAUAACACGGCACAUUGUUUGCUGCAGCACGCGACAGAUAAUCAAUUACAGGCUCCUCAUUACCGACCAGUCUCUAUUCUGGCUUGAGAGAGCUUCAAAAACAACAAGCCGCCAGGUGCAACUAUCACCACCUAGCGUGUGGAAAUGCUCAACCACGUCAGCUCACAGAACUGUGACGCACCUCCACGCAGUCCGCAGCCCAGACAGUACAAGGAAAUCAAGAAGUCCUUUCGAACAGGAAAAAUGGGAAAGCAGUGUCGCCAAACACAAAACUUUCAACACGUGCACCGCGGCCACAGACUCGUGAGCGGCCGCCGAAAAGUAGUCUGCUGGCGCAAGCGCGGCAAAAGGGAAAUGGCGGCUAUGACAUCAUCGUAACUUGUUGCAUCGGCUGCAGCGUGAUGACGUCGGGGAAGUAGGGAGGGUCGCCUUCGAGUCACUUUUAAGGGUGUCAAUGUUGCGAGGUGCGGCAUAUAGCGCUGAAUCACGCACGUAAACUUCAAAAUUCAUAUAAAAUACCUUCCAAGCUAUAUUCGCUGUUAAUAUUUUGCAGAUAUACAUGUUCACGGGAAUCUAUCUCGCAGGUUAUCUCGGCCAUGAAAUUUUUUGUCAGUACCCCUUUAAGCUUUGGAUUCGGGAGUUUAACUCUAGAUGUUUUUUGAGUUGACAGCCCCACAAGCCCCAUCUGUUGAAGAACCUGAUAUUGAGUCAUGCGGUUUUAUGAAAGCUAAGAAAAACAUGUAAUUCAUUGCUGUGAUAGUUUGCACUCUUAAGAGAGAACUAAAAUGAAAUUCUUGAUCAGGCUUAACUGGUGUAUUGCUCUUUCGGAACUUUGGCAGUGUUUGUUUGGUGCAGAAAGGGCUGAUUAUAUGAAUUUUGUGGCCAAAUUGCUUUACUAAUAUCAAAUUAGUCUUUCCAUCCGAUAGCAGUUGUCACUUUCAACUAAAGAACGCAGCAUUGAGCUGUAUGUUUUCUCAUCCCAUUUCCUCUCUCGCACAGUUUUUUAGUGGCCUUAGUUCGAUACUCGUGGACAAUCAGUCUCCAGCACACCAGUAUGAUGAUACAACAAGUGCAAAUGUGAUCCUGGAACACUGACCUCGCCAUUAAUUGGCACAAAAAGCUCGGAAGGUGCUAUUGUGUUCUUAAGAUCCGCUAGCUUGUGAUCGCAUUUGAACCAGUGACAUUUGCCAAGUGCACAGGUGUUCUGAAGGAGUUUUCGUAUACUUCUAUUCCAUCUUCUUUCGCACAAAAAUCCAGUAGGGCACGUUACCUUCCUUUCUUCAUACCUCUUAUCCAUAAUUCUUUCUCUUCAGAGUCUUAGAGGACUGGAAAUCUUGGAAAUAAUAUUGCAAAACAAGCACUUUGGGAAUUAUGUGCAGAGUGCUGUGUAUGUCCGUCUGCCUGUGCCCCCAUCUUUCGUGCUGUGCCCAUGUUGCUGUGUUUUUUUUCCCCCUUCCCUAUUUUGUACCAAUCUGGUGCAAUGUCCUGCCACAACAGCUGUUCCCUCAUGUAGGUCCUUUUCCUUACAGAUAAAUUGAAGACUGCAAAGAAAUAAUGCCUUUUGAGUCCUUUCUAUGAUAAAAUGGCGAGAGGUAUAUUUUGGUUGCAGUACUGUGCUCUGCUGGAGUUAAAGUAUUGAUUUCCAAAUUGUUCAUUAGGCUGCACUCCUUCACAGUUUGUACUGUUGCUUUAUAAUUAAGCAGUAUGAAUUUUAGUGUCACUGCUUGUGAGGCAUGAAGUGAGCUUGGUCAUGGGAUUUUGCAUCAUGCUUUCCUUAAGCAUUGUCAAUAACUUUUUUUUUUGAAGGCACAUACCAAAGGAAGACAAGCAAAAGACAAACUUCUGUCUUCUUUGGUCAUGACACAUUGGCAUAAUGUAAUUUAAAUACGUGUUUACUCAUACCAAAUGUCAUGCGGGAAUUAUUUCAUCCCUUCGUUAUCAAAAUGUGCUCAUGUUAUGUGUUCAUAUUAUUAGGUUCCGUGUCUCAUUUUUAUUUUUGAAGCAGUGUAAUUUUGCAAUAAGUUCACUACAAAAUGUAAUAUUUAUACAAAAUGGUAAAUUUAAAAGCGCAGAACUUAAGGUGUUGCCACUAUGACUAUUAAUUGGAACAGUAAGCAGUGAAACAGAAAGGCUUUGCCACAUGCCACAGAGGAGACUUAUCUUAAUGAUGCAUUUGUAACGAAGCUGAUAAGUGUAUGUCAUUCAACUAUAUCACUGGCCUAAGAAAGGCAGCUGUAGUAGAUGUGGCAUGAAGCUUAUAAAAUUUAAUCCUGAACACCAUACCUGGCCAGAAGCAUCAUGUCUAAAGUUUUUCUAUAUUUCAUUUUCAUGACGCACAGAACUACUUCCAAGUUGCUUUGUAAAUAGGAUGUUCAUGUUAAAUAUUACAGUGCUGUGAAUUGUGUAAAUAAUACUGUUGAACUGUGUGCAAGCUCACUUUUCAUGUAGAUACGUAUUUCUGAUUAUUGUUAUGCAGUUAAGAGGGGCUAAAUGAGCAGUAAUAACUUUUGGAAAAGUGAGGGCAUAAUUUGCAACCAUACAAGCCAACACAAGCCUAAUAGUCCAAAGGGCGUGCAUUUCAACCUCUGAACUUUAUGCUUUUAAAUUAAGCCUCCCCCUUUUUUUUUCCUAAAUUGCAUAAUCAAGGAAAUGUUGUGCACACUCCAAACAGUUCUAAAUAGUGACCACUGUACAGUUUUAACAUUGGAGGCAGUAUUUAGCAUGUGAGAAGUUUUUGCCAAAAUGUGUCGACAGUCAUGGCACCUGCCUGAAGCCGCUUGAUAUGCACACAUUUUUUAGCUUUCAACUUUUUCGCGAGUAAUUUGGAACUAAUGAAAAAAAACUAAUGAGAUUAUUUCUGAAGCAAUGGCUUAAUUAAUUCAUUGGUUUUGUGGAAACAUUGGAGUUGCCAUCCUGAAGAGUAGCAAUUUUUUCAUGAAUAUGCUGAUGUUUUCCAUUUUAAUCUGGAAUAGUUCCAUUGUUUCAAAGUUAGUAUCACAUGAAAAUAGCUUUGUUAGGAUAGUAAACCAAUUGCAUCUACAUUGCUUACUAACAUAUUUUUCUCGACUGUUUUCUUUUCACUCCACACAAUUUAUCAUCAUUAUGCAUGGAAUUUCAUGCUUUAUAUUUAAGACAUUGUCACCAUAAGUCAUAAAUAUUCAUUGCAUUCCACUUGUUAUUCAAACUGAAUUCAUGACAUUUACUUAACGUUCUUUUCUCUGCAGCUUCUCUUUUACAUGCACAUUUUUGUAUGUUGUUGCUACAUUUAUAUUAUGGCCUGUUGAUCUGACUACAAUUCACGAAAAUGUCAUUCCAGUAUUAACUAUCCUGUCAUAAUUUUUACAGACUUGGUUGUCAGGGCCCUGUCUUGUACCUACAUGUGAAAAAGUUUUGAUGAAAAUUUUAGAAUAGCCACACUUUUAUGUAGCUGCAAGUCUGUAGCAAAAAGUGGCCUUUUCUUUCUUUUUGUUGUUAGUUUCAUUUGUACAUAGAACAGAUCUCUGUGGUGAAUACAGUAUUGAUUACUAAGCUUCUAAUUAUUUUUUUCUGUGUCUGUGUGGGUGUGUUUUGUGAAGAUUUUUAUUAACAGCCAGUGUGUAGUGUGGCUAAUGUUCACUUUGUGUCGUAAGAGGAAUGCAUAAAUGAACACUCAAAUGUUCUCAUAUUUCUUUUUCUAGUUUGGACAUUAUCUCUUCACAAAAAUGCUUUGCACUCUAGGUAUAUGUAUUUGCUUCUAAGAAAAAUGGUGAGGGGCACAAAUAAAAGACGUAAUUGAUGUGAUAUUAAUGCAUUUUGACCAAUGGGUGGUUUUUUUCCCUGUGGUCAUCAUUAUUUAAAAGCAUCAGGCCAUGGCUCACAUCUUCUCCAUAACAAUGUACAAUCGCACUACUCGUCAAGUUCAUCUAUCAUGCAGACCUUUUUUAUAACAUUUGACUGUCUUCCACAUCAAUCUGUGACAGCAUAAUUUGUCCUGAUGCACACUGAGCUGUGACAAAAAGCAGAACACGAAGCUGGAAUAUGGAAACAGCAAUAGAGUGUUCUAUCCUCUACUACUUAGAAAACGAAGUGUCUUUCCUAUUAUUAUGCAUUUGUGCCCAUAAGAGAGCACAUGUGAGAAUCACUUAAUUGGUUUUAUAAAAAGCGAGUUUUGUUUUAUGGAGUGAGUAAUAAUUGAAGUGUCAGGCCCCCUUUUUCACAUUAUGAACAUGUGUGCAAACACUUGGGCUUCCUAUAUCACCAGUUCUUCCCAAAAUGUUGCUUGUAAUAUGAAGUGUGGCCAAAUUAUAAGCUUUGCUGUAGCACAAGAAACAUGACAGAGCUUAAAAAAAAAUCUUUAACCUGCCCAGUCUCACCGUGCCUAAAUGGGUAGCCUACUUUAGUCCUUUUUAGCAUUUUGGAAGUAACUACAUAGAGUAAUUCUUUUGGAUUUAAAUUUACAUUCAUGGAGAACUGUAAGAAGCAGUUUCAAUGCACUACUAUCGUCAGCUUUUGUGAAAACUGAAAUCAAUUUGGCUCAAACCAGUGCGCUGUCACAAGCAGAAAAAAUCACCUGUAAACUGCCUAUGAGAUAUUGCAAGCUGACUCGGAAUUCUAAGAUGCACAUUCAAAAUGUCAGCCUCCCAUGUCAUGCUAAUAUUGUCAUCUUUGUGUUAAGUCACCUUGAGCAGUUUUUGCAAGGAAUAUGAUGAUCUGACUACUCAAUCCAUUGCAUGGAGAUGCUGCCGUCGCCAUCUACUCAGGAUAUUGAAGCAAUAAGUAUUUUUUUAUGUUCUUAACGUCCCAAUUAGUAAUGAGGACCAACUCAAGGAGCAGUUAUAUGCUUUAACAUGAAUACCUGCCUAAUAGCUCAGCUCUCUGUUAAUCUAAUGCUUCCAAAUCUUUGGGACUGAGCAGGUUAAACAACUUGUGCUGUAGUUGAAGAAACAGCUUGAGAAGCUUAAAGGGUGGAGCUCCUCUGUCAUAUUAGCAAAAGCUGUGCUCUAACUGUUGCAACCUAGAUUUAUAUUUGGGACAAUGAUACAGCUAUUAGUUAUCAUGGUGCAAGCAGGCGGUGCAAAUAUUGUGUGACAGUUUUGUUAGCUGACUAUGCACACCAUCUUUUAGGUGGACUGAAUACCUUGAAUUUCUUACUGAAUAGUGCUUUUGCAUUAUACUGCCUUGUGUAAGCUUUGAUUAUUCGCAGCCAUGUGUGUGUUGCCAUUCAAGGUUACCACAAAGAGUGUAGGAAUAUCAACCAACAUGGACUGCUACAUAACUAAUGACGCACAGUAAUACACUGUUCAAAACAUGUGCAUUCAUGGUGAGCUCGGUGGCUCACUUGAAGUGAUGUCUCCUUUGUUUGGGAGUGCAUUGAUAUGAUCUACUAUGAUGUUUAGUGGUCUACAUUGAAGCUAAGUGAACAGCACUUAGUUGCUAAACUAAGCAAAAGAAAGUGGUCAUGUGGGCUUAACACGUGUAUGUCCAACCCAUCUUAUACUUUUCUGAGCAUCCAGAUGAGGUAACUUCAUAGUUUAAGUGUUCAUGCUUUAUAGGUAUUAUGCACAGUAGUGUUUGUUGUGUUCUUGCUUGAACAUACCACAGACUUUUGUCCCUGCCAGCACUUCAAUGUUAUGAUGCUUUUCUACCGUGUUUACUGGGGCACUUUAUUCAAGGCUCAUGGCCGUGUAUUUGAACGUAUCUUUGGAGCAAAAUAUGUACUACUACCACCUUUGUCUCAUACACUUUUUUUUGUGUAUGAAGUGGUCUCUCAUUAUAUUAAAGCAUUGUACUUUUCUUUAAGUAUUAAGGGCGCAGUUAUAAUAAAACAUUCAAGCAUUACAGCUUAUUCGAGCGUAUAUACUAAGUGAGUUCACUUCUAGCAUUCAGUUGCAGUUUUUUUUUUAAUGUCGCACAAAAUAGCAUCAUAGCUUUUUAUUUUUUAUGGUCACGAAGUGCUUUUGUCAUGUUGGAUCUGUGAAAAUAGUAGUCAUCUAUGUGUCUUUAAUACUGUCAUGCUUCUCUUGCGUAGUGAGGGCUUUGUUUUGUGCGAUGUUAAAUAUUGCUGAGAACAGCAUGCUGUAUAUCUGCUAAUGUUGGUAGUUGCAGGAAUACAGACAAAUGUCAUCACAGUUGUGAAAUGUAGUUAAUGUUUAUUGUGAAUGCGCUGGCUGUACAGUGUAAGGAAGCACAUGAUACUGAUCUUAUAUAUUGUGGUUUAAGGUGGGCUGAGGCGGCGUAUGUUGAGGCUUUCACUUGCCUGUCAUUACUUCUUGAUUUCUGAAUCGGGGGCAGCAAGCAUCCGUGUGCUUCAUGUUUUGUGUAAUCAGCUAUGUAGCUAGCAAGUGGUUCUACAAUAACAGGGUACUGGUAACUUCUUGUGUUUAGAGCCAUCACUCUACAAAGCCAAAGACAGUUGUAGCUUCUGUUAGGACUGCAAAAUAGCUUUCUGGAAGAAUGUAUGCUUGGGCAUGUUGGUAAUUCAUGUUUCACUUUUUAGCGCACAAAGAAACAAGGAUGAAGCGCGCGCUGUGUCUGUGUCGCUUUUCGUCCUUGUUCUUUUGUGCGCUAAAAAGUGAAAUGUAGCUUUCUGCUUAGAGUAUUUCUGCCGGAGCAUUCUGUGGAAGAGAAAGUCGGCCUUACAAAUCGUUAAUUGUGCAGAUGCACAUUAUACUGGUACCAAUUUCUAUGCCACCAUUCACUUUAAUGUGGAAAUGCUAAUGAUUCUUGUCGAACCUUAUGGAAAAUAUGGCAUUUAUUGCCCUUGUUUUGGCCUGCCUUUCAUGUGGGCGUACGUUUCGCAUUUUAGGAGUCGUGCUUCUAUGGACCCAUAUUGAAACGUACUUCCUGUUUUCAUCAUUGAAGCUGUUUCUAUAAAGAGAGGUAUAAUGCUCUGCAAUUUGCCUGCCAAGAAGCUCUUUGAAGGCAUUAUGUGCUCUGGAAACAACCCCCAGAACUGUAAUGAGGAGCUCCAAUGAAACGUAUCCCAGAUACCAGCAUUCAAUUGGACGUCUUCCAAGUACUUGCUUAUGCCAGUACAAGGGAUUGCGUUUUUUUUUUUUUUUUCUACCAACCUUAGUCAUAGGAUUCGGUAGCCUAUUUUUUACCCUGUGGUGUGUGAUUGUAUGUGGAAAAGACAGCAAUGGUGGUACAGGAAUUGCUGAUGGGUGAAAUCAUUUAUACACGCGAAAUUCUGUAGUGAUAAAUGUUGAUGAGCUAUUACUGCCGUUGUAUAUUUGGGCAGGGGUCUUCAUAACACAAGCUAUGCAAGGUCGUUUGGCCAUUUCAUAUAUAGAUUCUCCAAAAACUUGUCACCUUAGUCAUUUUUAAUGCACAAAUUGCUUUCAUGAUGCACAUAUCCUUUGUUUUAUUCAACACACUAUUCACCAUGCAUUGAAAUGACAAUUUCAUAUGUUUUAUGUAUAUUUGGAGGUAAACAUAGCUUCAUUGUUUACUCCAGAUGUUUAGAAAAAGACAACACUCUUUUUACGUUGCCCCUUAGCGGAUUAAGUGUGUGGCAGGCAGUGCUCUUGUUCCCACUGUUGAAGACAUAGUGCAUGUUAAACAUGAACCAGUAGAGUAUGUGCAUUGCAGUGUGAUUGCUCCACCUGCUUUUCAGCAGUACAUGGCUCUAAGAGUCAUAAUCAUAGCCACUCCGUGGUGUUCCAGCUGUUUAAUUUACCAAAGUAUUGUAUUCUGCACUGAAAUUUCUCAGAGUGUAAGACACUAUUGAUGCAUUCCUCACGUAUCCUGAUGCAGUGUUGAGAAGUUUGAUUGUCAUGUUUUCGGCAACUAUAAGGUUUGAUGUGGUGUUGAUUUUGCUGUAAAUAUUCGUAUUGAAAUAUAUAGUGUUUUCUCUUUG